UACUCCUACGGGAGGCAGCAGUGGGGAAUAUUGCACAAUGGGCGAAAGCCUGAUGCAGCAACGCCGCGUGAGCGAUGAAGGCCUUCGGGUCGUAAAGCUCUGUCCUAUGGGAAGAUAAUGACGGUACCAUAGGAGGAAGCCCCGGCUAACUACGUGCCAGCANCCGCGGUAAUA
rnacentral:rRNA from 1 species